GGCCGUCAUUCUGCAGUCCAGCGACAAGACUGUCUUGCUAACCCGAAGGGCACGCACCCUGAGCGUUUCCCCCAACCUCUGGGUACCCCCGGGUGGGCUUCGAGAACUUUGGGAGGAGAGUGGACUACACCUGCCCCAGGGCCAGUUCUCUUGGGUCCCUCUGGGUUUAUGGGAGUCUGCCUACCCUCCUAGGCUGAGCUGGGGUUUACCCAAAUACCAUCACAUUGUUCUGUAUCUACUCGUGAUCUCCCAGGAAUCACAGCAGCAGUUGCAGGCCCGGAUCCAACCAAACCCAAAUGAGGUGAGCGCCCUUAUGUGGCUGACACCAGAUGUAGCUGCUGCAGUGGCUGCCGCAGAGGAUGGGACAGAGACACCCGGACUUCUCCCCC
rnacentral:lncRNA from 1 species